GCCUUCGUGGUGUAAUGGUCAGCACACUGAGCGUAUUCGAGAGGUCCAGGUUCGAAUCCCGGUAAGGGCG
rnacentral:tRNA from 1 species